UAUUCAACAUCUCUUUCUCUCUCUCCUUCAACUCUUUCCUCUCUCUCUCUCUCCUUUCUCCUUCCUCUUUCUCCCUCUCCUUUUCUUUUUCCUCUGAAAAACGAGAAGUGAGAGAAGAGAGAAAAGAAGAAAAAGAAGG
rnacentral:ribozyme from 13 species